GACGUAGGGCGCGAGCGUUGUCCGGAUUUAUUGGGCGUAAAGAGCUCGUAGGCGGUUUGUUGCGUCGGCUGUGAAAUCCCGAGGCUCAACCUCGGGUCUGCAGUCGAUACGAGCAAACUAGAGUGUUGCAGGGGAGACUGGAAUUCCUGGUGUAGCGGUGAAAUGCGCAGAUAUCAGGAGGAACACCGGUGGCGAAGGCGGGUCUCUGGGCAACAACUGACGCUGAGGAGCGAAAGCAUGGGGAGCGAACAGG
rnacentral:rRNA from 1 species